rnacentral:piRNA from 1 species
UAAUUUACCCCUGGAGAUGGC